rnacentral:rRNA from 1 species
CCAGACUCCUACGGGAGGCAGCAGUGGGGGAUAUUGCACAAUGGGGGAAACCCUGAUGCAGCAACGCCGCGUGAGUGAAGAAGUAUUUCGGUAUGUAAAGCUCUAUCAGCAGGGAAGAGAAUGACGGUACCUGACUAAGAAGCCCCGGCUAACUACGUGCCAGCAGCCGCGGUAAUACGUAGGGGGCGAGCGUUAUCCGGAUUCACUGGGUGUAAAGGGAGCGUAGACGGCCAUGCAAGCCAGGGGUGAAAGCCCGGGGCCCAACCCCGGGACUGCUCUGGAAACUGCGUCGCUGGAGUACGGGAGGGGCAGGCGGAAUUCCUGGUGUAGCGGUGAAAUGCGUAGAUAUCAGGAGGAACACCGGCGGCGAAGGCGGCCUGCUGGACCGUGACUGACGUUGAGGCUCGAGAGCGUGGGGAGCAAACAGGAUUAGAUACCCUCGUACC